rnacentral:rRNA from 1 species
AUAUUACCGAAACUGUGGAUGAACCUCUUUAGAGGUUCGUGGUAGGAGAGCGUUCUAAGGGCGGUGAAGUCAGACCGGAAGGACUGGUGGAGCGCUUAGAAGUGAGAAGGCCGGUAUGAGUAGCGACAGAAGGGUGAGAAUCCCUUCCACUGAAUAUCUAAGGUUUCCUGAGGAAGGCUCGUCCGCUCAGGGUUAGUCGGGACCUAAGCCGAGGCCGAUAGGCGUAGGCGAUGGAAAACAGGUAGAGAUUCCUGUACCAGUGCUAAUUGUUUAACCGCUGGGGUGACACAGAAGGAUAGGGAAUCGCACGAAGGGAAGGGGGGGCCAAAGCGGGGAGUGGGGAAAUAGGGAAAAUCGGCUCCUCGCGAGGCAUGGGGGGGGUGGGGGAGGAAUUGAGCAAGGGAAAGUUCAGUAUUCCCGGGUGCUAAGAAAAACCUCAGGGAAGAGGAUAACUC